AGCCGCGCAGUCAAACUCAAACCGGAAGGCCGCGUCGCCGCCCGCAACGGCCCCACCGCGGACACGGUUUAUCCAAUCCAGGCAAGCAUCCCCACCACCGCCACGAUCACGAGGGCCGCGAUGCGGCGGCGAGAACUAGGGGCGCGCGUCCAGACGUCGUCCUCUCCCGCGCUUGAUCACUCCGCCCCGCCCGCCAUCGCCUCCUCGUCGCGGGCGGAGGGUUCCAGGGAGGACCGGGACUCGGGAGGAGCGAGGUCGUCACCGCAGGGCGGCGGCAUGGGCCAGUGCGCGACGCGGGGAGGGGGGGAGGAGGGGGUGCCUGGCCGUGGCGCGGGAGCAGCGGUCCCGGUUCUACAUCUUCCGCCGCUGCGUCGCCAUGCUCGUCUGCUGGCACAAGUACAAGAAGAUCUGAACGUUCCCUUCAGUUCAGCCUCGCCUUCGAUUAUUAUCCUCUCCGGUCUCCGCCCGCCCGGGAAUAUUCUUUGUAACUGUAAUAUAAAUCUCGUUGUCAUGCAUC